rnacentral:piRNA from 1 species
UAUACUAGGAACCUGAGACAAUUUCAGCAUU